AUCUGAUUUGAAUUAAAGAUUUAUCGGUAUAGGAUGGGGGAUGCGUCUGAUUAGCUUGUUGGUGAGGUAACGGCUCACCCAAGGCACGAUCAGUAGGGGUUCUGAGAGGAAGGUCCCCCACAUUGGAACUGAGACACGGUCCAAACUCCUACGGGAGGCAGCAGUGAGGAAUAUUGGUCAAUGGACGAGAGUCUGAACCAGCCAAGUAGCGUGCAGGAUGACGGCCCUAUGGGUUGUAAACUGCUUUUGUUUGGGAAUAAUCGACAUUACGUGUAAUGUUUUGCAUGUACCAUUCGAAUAAGGACCGGCUAAUUCCGUGCCAGCAGCCGCGGUAAU
rnacentral:rRNA from 1 species